GUCGGGAGCUGUGGAGCGGGAGGCAGAGGACGGGACUCUGCCUGGCGUGUGCUCGCCCCUCCAGCUGGCCCAGGACGGCCACCUGGAGAGGCUGACCACACAGGUGAAGAAGAAAUUCAGGAACCGGCUUCAGGUGGCCUGCGGUCCUGGAGGUCCCUGAGCCUUCUUUCUCAUGAGGUACCUGCGGCUGGACCGUUUCCCAGAAACGGUGUGGGGACAUUUCUGAGGACGUCCUCUCCGGAGGCAGGGGGGCAGUCAGCGACCCCCAGUCUGCGCCCACGCUGCUCCCUGGAUCCGCACGCGAGGUCCUUCGGAUUCGAUCACCGCCAUCUGUGUCGCUUUCCCGUGAGGGGUCUGUGCGCCGAGAGGUGGCGGCCAGCCCCGCGUCGCCUGCGAGCCUAGGGUGGGAGCCGCCGGAGGCCGAGGGUCACCGCGAGGGCGAGCGGGGACCCCGCGGGGCCGGGCCUGCUGGCUGGGAUUCCUGGCAGAGCCGGCCCGUUUCCCGCCUCACCCCCGGCGACCUGACCCCCGCCCGCGAGUGCAGCCUGCGGCGCCAGCUACUCGUGUCUCAUCUGGAGCUGUUCUGCAUACUUUCGAGACGCAUAUACCUUCUCCCAUCCCGUGUUCUGUCCUAUCCUGUUGCUGCACGUCAUUUCUUGUGGAGUUUCUAUUUUUUCUAUGAUGCACAUACAUUUUUUUUUUUUAAAAGAAAGAAGUAAAGAAACAACUGGGUCAUACAUAGUGAAAAAGCACAGCAAGUUUGAAC